GAGAGUCAAACCGAAAUUAUACUCGUGUGUUUUUCCCAAACUCGAUUUGAUUGCGUCGCGUCGCGUGAGCGGUUUCCGUGAUGAGGCGUGAAAACACCUUCAAAAUAGACUAUUCGGCCAUCAAGCCAUCUUUCGAAAAAGUGCAUGGGUUUUGCCGUACAGUGCUUGGCUUGAAGAAGGAAGAUGUCAUGAGACUGCAGUGCCACCGAGGUGGAGCGUGUGCUUUUGUGCAGAUACUGCUUCCCCUCCUACUUAUCCGCAACCCUGUUGUCUUAUUUACCGUCGCUAUGGAAUGCAAAAAAUAAACAAACAGUUCAAGUAUUGCAAUAUUUUCGAAAUGCCUCGUCCAUAUAAGAAGAAGAAAGCAGCGCUCAUUCGCGAAAAUCAAUAGAAAAAUAGAUGGAAUAUGUUGAUAGAUUGUGUUUUGGAUAGCGAGUAUGUGCGGGACUCAUCAGUUCAAACAACAAUACCACGGAAUUUAGAAACUGUACUUGAUCCAAUAAUUUGGUAUCAAUAGAACAAAUAGCCGAUUUAUCUUCAAGCCCUCUCGUCAAGUGCCACUUGACUGUUCUCUGGGUGAGGUUGCUUCCCUAUCCGAAAACGAUGAUGUUGUCGACAAAAUGG